rnacentral:rRNA from 1 species
UACGAAGGGGGCUAGCGUUGUUCGGAAUCACUGGGCGUAAAGCGCACGUAGGCGGAUUAUUAAGUCGGGGGUGAAAUCCCGAGGCUCAACCUCGGAACUGCCUUCGAUACUGGUAAUCUUCGAGUCCGGGAGAGGUGAGUGGAACUCCGAGUGUAGAGGUGAAAUUCGUAGAUAUUCGGAAGAACACCAGUGGCGAAGGCGGCUCACUGGCCCGGUACUGACGCUGAGGUGCGAAAGCGUGGGGAGCAAACAGGAUUAGAAACCCUAGUAGU